rnacentral:rRNA from 1 species
UACGAAGGGGGCUAGCGUUGCUCGGAAUUACUGGGCGUAAAGCGCACGUAGGCGGUCUUUUAAGUCGGGGGUGAAAUCCUGGAGCUCAACUCCAGAACUGCCCUUCGAUACUGGAAGACUCGAGUCCGGGAGAGGUGAGUGGAACUGCGAGUGUAGAGGUGAAAUUCGUAGAUAUUCGCAAGAACACCAGUGGCGAAGGCGGCUCACUGGCCCGAUACUGACGCUGAUGCACGAAAGCGUGGGGAGCAAACAGG